rnacentral:lncRNA from 1 species
UGCAUUUUUAGUUGUACAUCAAACUACAACAAUUUCUUGAACGACAUAUAGAUUAUAACUCAAUAAAAGUAUAAGCUGCAAAGUAAAGUAAAUUAGUUGCUCAUGUUCAACUAUGUCAUGGUGUAAGUAAACAUCUUAAAAUAUUGCACAUGAACUCUUAAUAGUUGUGGGAAAAAACCAUCUUAAUUGUUUCUUUUUGAUACAAUUUUUACAAGUUACUCUAUAAAGCAAUAAAAUUCUAAAGCUCUAGUUUAUAUGAGUGAAUUACCUUGAAUUCUAAGAAUUGUCUAUAAAUGUCAGAUAUUCAUUAAUUUGCAAACUUACAUCAGCAGAAGCAAUAUUUUUUUGAAUCGGCAGCAGCAGAAGCAAUAUGAUAUUGAGAACAUUCAUCAUAUUAAAUUAAGUUAGAAAUUAAACACCAAUGCUAAAUAAUUUGGACAACUGUAUUACCUUCCAUAGAAGCAAGCAACAUGUGUAAGGGUGGAUGCUAUGGUUGCAAAUCCAAAGCCAUAAGUGAGAGAGAAAAACACACUUAGGUGAAUUCUACCUUGCUCUGCAUACUUUGCUUCAUCUAGCUCAAACUUGUCAUUGACAAUAGCAGAUAUGUUGUACUUUUGACCUUGAGCAGUGAACAAAUGAGAGGAGAAAAGGGGGAACGUUUUAGCAUUGUACGCAUUUAGGCCCCAAUAUGCAAUGGGAACCACAGCAUAGAUAAUCAAUACAUAGCC